rnacentral:rRNA from 1 species
AUAAACGCUGGCGGUGUGCUUUAUGCAUGCAAGUCGAACGGUUCCGAUUUAUCGGAAUAGUGGCGAACGGGUGAGUAACACGUAAGUAACCUGCCCUAAAGUGGAGAAUAACUUCGGGAAACUGAGGCUAAUACUGCAUGUGAUGGCGAGAGUGAUGUUUCGUCAUCAAAGCCUUCGGGCGCUUUGGGAGGUGCUUGCGUUCGAUUAGCUAGUUGGUAGGGUAACGGCCUACCAAGGCGAUGAUCGAUAGCUGGUCUGAGAGGAUGAUCAGCCACACUGGGACUGAGACACGGCCCAGACUCCUACGGGAGGCAGCAGCAAGGAAUUUUGUGCAAUGGGCGAAAGCCUGACACAGCAACACCGCGUGAGGGAUGAAGGCCUUCGGGUUGUAAACCUCUUUUAUCAGGGAAGAAUAAUGACGGUACCUGAUGAAUAAGCUUCGGCUAACUACGU